CCAGGUAUUCCCGCUACUCCCCACUACCUUCCUCCUUUCCGUUUCCUGUCUUCCUUUCUUUCCUCAAUUCCGUUUCUUCCUUCUGAUCUACUCAAUCAGUAUACAGAUCGAUCAUCUCGGCUUCAUAGCCAAAGCUACCGUCUUACCGAUCCUUAGAUCGUAUUUUGAUCUACUGAUCAGGGACACCCUGAAUCAUUCCAGGUCACUCGAAUCUCUUAAUUUACGCUCAAAGUCUCCUCUAAUCUCUGAUCGAAUUCUGAUCAAUAGAUUGGAGACAUCUAUCUCUGAUAGGUCUCUGUUGGGAUUCUUUUAUUUUGGGUUUAAUUAAGUGAAACAAAAAUCUCUGUUUCAAUUGGUGCUUUCAAUAUUUGCUCUCAUUUUUCACAGGAGAGCCAUCAUGAAUGUGGAAACAACAUUAAAAGGACUCCAAACAUGCCAAGCAAACCAAGUCCAGGAACUAGCUCAGAUCCGGACAGACUUGCAAAGUGCAGUUUCAGGUCUUCAAGAAGAAAUGAAAAAGAGCAUAAUGAUAUUAUGCACCCUAUGUAAUAUCCCUAUAAAGGGCCC
rnacentral:lncRNA from 1 species